GGCGUGAUUCCCAGGGUUCCAAGCACUAAAAGCAUUUAUCUGGAUGUUAAACUCAUUUGCUCCAAUAGAAAUCACUGCCAGGAGACAGAUGGAGGACAGACUUUUGUUAUGGAGUGGUGGCAUAAUAUACGGUUUGGAAAUAUGCAUGGGCAACAUUUCAUCCACACGCUGACCUCCCUCCAGUCUCGUACAAGGAUCUAGUUCUCAUGGAUGUUUCCGGGCUAUACCACUUCAGAAUGGGGGAGCUGACGGCCACUGCCCCUCAGUAAGAUAACAAAAUGCUUCUCUCAGUGCCACUGCAACAGAUCCUUCUGUAAAGAAAAUUGGCGUUUCAAGCAGACGGCUAGGUCUGAAUCUUUCUCCCUGACACACAGACACAGAGAGCCUGAACGGACAUGUUCCAGCUGUCUGUCCCCUCCUUUUGCCUCAUGCCUAGAAACAGGUCCCCGGUUUUUGAUCUGGAGUAAGGCAUUCACACGCGCACAUCACUGCUUCACUGCUGCCCUGACAAACGUACAUGUGUGAGCCCGCCCUAAACUAAGGGGAGUUUUUUUUCCCCAGAGACUGACCUGGACAAGCUAGCAGCACUUUAAUACCCAUAGCGGCUACCAAAUGGAGACACGCUCCACACACACAGUUCCCCGCCGGAUGAUGCACAUGACCAGUUUCUCCCCCCAGUCCCCUCCGCUUGUAAGCAAAGUCCCCCCCCCGUCGAUCAAGGUUGGCCCGUCUGAAAUCAAUCCUGAUUCUAUUGCUGCUUUUAAAAAAAGGGAAAAAAGAAAUCAUUUUCAACCCCUCAAGGCGUGAGCGGCUGUGGGUUCGAGACUGACUUCUGCUCUUUAAAAAAACAAAAAACCGCUGAGGAUUCUCUGGAUUCCAUCCUUGUCUUCCAAGGCGGGUCCUUGUUCAGGUGCGGCGUUUCUUCGAGGGCGCACUACUGAUUUUCUUCCACCUCCCUCCUCCUUUCCCUCCAAGGCGACUGCAGCUCAGUCUGUGCAGCUCAGAGAAAAGCGGGGAGGGGGAGAGGAGGAAGGAUUUGGAAAGGGGGAGGAGUGGAAGCGGAGGAGCACUCUUCUUCUUCAGCGAGGCUUCCACGUCCACCGAGCUGCCCGUUUUAUUUUCCUUGGGUGGGUAGGUAGAAUGCCUCUUUAAUGACACAAUUAAUUAGCAGGGUUCCAUAAACUCGGCCCGCCUGCGCGGUCUCUCUCUCUCUCUGUCUGUCUCUGUCUCUCUCUCACACGCACCCAUACACGCACCCAUACACGCACCCCUGCUCUGUUUCUAGCGAACUUGAGGGGAAAAGGAAGGGGCAGCUCACUGGAUCCACGCCCGCAGGUCAAUUGCGCGAGGAGGAGGAGGAGGAGCAGGAGGGAGAGAACCGGAAGGCCACACAGUUUGCAGGCCAAGCACUCUUCGGUGUUGAUGAGGGGAUCACACGAGCAGUUCCUAUCGCUUCGCUGACUAACAGCUGACGGCCUCACGCGAUUCCUUUUGAAAUGUUCUCUAGCGGCGGUGGUUGUUUUCGGUAAAGUGUCGGCGGCUGAGUAGAUGUGUAAAUACCGGGGAGUGGGAGGUUGGAUUUCGCGUGUAUUUGAGGGGAUGGGAUGGGAAAAGAAAGGAUGAGAUCCGCGGUGUUGGAUCUGAGCAGGCACAUUCACACGUGCGAAUCAGCGCUGGCUGUUUGUUGGGUUCGGCAAUCGUCCUGUGAUGAAUCCGGAUGUCUGAACCAGACCCUACAAAGGCCGGAGUGUAUAUGAUGCGGGGAAAUGACAUUUUAAAAUGAUAUUAUUUAACAGAGGCCGAGAUUCUUUGCGU